rnacentral:rRNA from 1 species
GGGUGAGUAACACGUUGGUGACCUGCCCCGAAGUGUGGGAUAACAGUCCGAAAGGAUUGCUAAUACCGCAUGUGGUUGUUGAGUUUAGAAAUCAACAACUAAAGCAGUAAUGCGCUUCGGGAGGGACCUGCGUCCCAUCAGCUAGUUGGUAGGGUAACGGCCUACCAAGGCGUCGACGGGUAAGGGACCUGAGAGGGUGGUCCCUCACAAUGGCACUGAAACACGGGCCAUACACCUACGGGUGGCAGCAGUAGGGAAUAUUGGGCAAUGGGCGAAAGCCUGACCCAGCAACGCCGCGUGUGCGAUGAAGGCCUUCGGGUCGUAAAGCACUUUUCUGAGGGAUGAGCAAGGACAGUACCUCAGGAAUAAGUCUCGGCUAACUACGUGCCAGCAGCCGCGGUAAAACGUAGGAGACGAGCGUUAUCCGGAUUUACUGGGCGUAAAGCGUGUGCAGGCGGUUCGGCAAGUUGGAUGUGAAAUCUCCCGGCUCAACUGGGAGGGGUCGUUCAAAACUACCGGACUUGAGGACAUCAGAGGAAGGUGGAAUUCCGGGUGUAGUGGUGAAAUGCGUAGAUAUCCGGAGGAACACCAGUGGCGAAGGCGGCCUUCUGGGAUGUUUCUGACGCUCAUACACGAAAGCUAGGGGAGCGAACGGGAUUAGAGACCCCGGUAGUCCUAGCUGUAAACGAUGUAGACUUGGCGUCGGAGGGUUCAAAACCUUCGGUGUCGAAGCUAACGCGAUAAGUCUACCGCCUGGGGACUACGGCCGCAAGGUUAAAACUCAAAGGAAUUGACGGGGGCCCGCACAAGCAGCGGAGCGUGUGGUUUAAUUCGAUUUACACGAAGAACCUUACCCGGGUUUGACAUGUUAGUGGUAGGAAUCCGAAAGGUGACCGACCCGCAAGGGAGCUAUCACAGGUGCUGCAUGGCUGUCGUCAGCUCGUGUCGUGAGAUGUUCGGUUAAGUCCGCUAACGAGCGCAACCCUCGCUACGUGUUACAUGUGUCACGUGGGACCGCCGGUAUCAAGCCGGAGGAAGGUGGGGAUGACGUCAAGUCAGCAUGGCCUUUAUAUCCGGGGCUACACACACGCUACAAUGGUCGGUACAAUGGGUCGCUAAGCCGCGAGGUGGAGCCAAUCCCCAAAGCCGGCCCCAGUUCAGAUCACAGGCUGCAACUCGCCUGUGUGAAGUCGGAGUUGCUAGUAAACGCGCGUCAGCUAUAGUGUGUUGAAUACGUUCUCGGGCCUUGUACACACCGCCCGUCACGUCAUGGGAGCUGGUAACACCUGAAGCCGGUACCCUAACCGCAAGGGGGGCGCUGUCGAAGGUGGUGCUGGUGACUGGGACGAAGUCGUAACAAGGUA